GCUUCUCCUUCCUCUCACUGGGUGAAAUCAGAGCUGUUAUUUCACAGCGCAGCUUGUGAUUUAUGGCUGUAAUCUCAACCACAAGUUGAGCUGGCAGUAGUUAGGGGAGCCACGAGGAAUAAGCGAAGGGCUCGCUAUUUAUUUCUGCAUCCUCUAUGCUCUUGAGGUUUUUAUUUCUUCAAGGCGAGGGCAAGGAAAUAUGGCUUUCUGCUGAGUAAAGAGGGGACAAUGAAAAGGAAAAAGUGCCAGGGAUUUGUGCUGAAGCAGCUCGUGUCGGGCAAAUUUCUGAACUCUGAGACUUGAGGUCACCAUGGGAAGCAGAGCAAUGCACGGGACGCAGUGCGGGCAGCUCCAGGAGCAGAUUUAGGGGUGGCCGUGUCCCUUCCUCCCCCGUCUGCUGCUCCAUCAUUUACUUUUAUGGCUCUCAGCUGUGAAUCCACCGCAGUCCUUCUGGGAAGCGCAGCUUCACACUGAUCUUAAUGGGUCCUUAAAUCAAAGGCGUCGCUGAAGGGGUGCACUGGCCAAAUGGAUCUGUGCUUUUCCUUCCAGAAAGGGAUGAGCUGUGGGUGGACGGCAUGUCUGAAACGUGGAAAUGCAGAGAAACCCCAUGCAGGGCUGAAAAUCCCAAACACCAGCGGCCAGCAAAGUAACAGCACUGCCAUAUUCAUGACGAUUAUCACCAUUCUUGCUUGUUUUGAUCUUUAUUUAAGAUUUGCAGUUCUGAUCUCCCCAGCUUUUCUUUGCCUAGAGGCUUCUUUUAUACCAAACAUCACUGAUACAAGAGCUUGGGGAUGCCAUAACCCCAAAUUUUCCAACACGGGAGCAGGUAGAACCAUUUACCCCACGACCCCCCGUGUGCUCAGAAGAAACCCACCACGUUCCGUCUGCUUUUUCUCACUUCACAGAAGAGAAGACCAUUUUCCAGGCUUGCUGCAGCCCACGGAGGAGGCAGACAGCACUAAGCCAGCUGAGGAAACGACCGAGCACUACCUCCCCUGCAAGGCUCUGGCUUUCCAGAGGUCAAGCAGUUUAAGAAUCUUGGCAGGAUGAAAAAAAAGCAGGAUUCAUCCCCCUAAUUGCUCUGUCUCUCUGGCCACCACGUCAUCCUGCUUCGGCCCAAGGUCAGUAACUUUCCUAAAUCAUCAUAUCCCAGAAUGCCACGGAGGACGCAUGGAACUCAUGCUGAAACGCACAGCCUUUGCACGAACACCCAUCGCCUCCUCGGCUUUGCCUCUCCACUCGAGAGUCCGUGCAGUUCUUGUUUUGCAGAAAAAGGAAGAACAGCGCUGAUGUAAUGACAGGAUUCUGGGAGCUGGAGAUUUAUGGGGGAAAAGUAAGCAAAUAGCCAGCAGCUCUUGAUAAAGUGGUGAGAAAGCACCUGCGGUGAGCUGCUAUUGCUUUGCCUCUUGAGUACGGCUGAUUGCAUGGGGUCAUACCCACCCGGGGCAAGGAGCAACCCUAAGCCCCCAGCAGCUAGAUGUGCUGCUCUUAAUUAACCCUGCUUAAUUACCAGGUGGGAACACAUCCUCCCCUGUACACUGGGAGCAGCACAACCAACCUGCAGUUAAACAUUGACGAGUUGCCUCCGCAGUGGAUUUCCAGGAAUCUAUUGAGAUAAGUGCAAGCCAUGGAAACAGCUCUUAAUCCACCUCCUGCCAAUUCCUUAAUACCUGUGCUUUAUUCCUUCCCAUCGGUGAUUGGAUCAGCAGCUCUUUGGAAGUCGAAGUGGCACAAGUGCUUUGCUUUGGUCUCUCUCACAGGGGGCCGUCAGAAAAGGACGCGAGAGAAAUGAAAUCUGUUAUUCUGGUGACUGCAUCGCCCUACGAGGGGUGAUGGGCAAAGGGAAACCCAGGGACCGCUCCUCUGCUCAGCAAUACCGAAUCCCCUAUCUCAGUUCCAAUAAGUAAUUCGUUCCACGUUCUGUCCAAGACUGGAGUUCAAAAUACAAUGAGAGAACACAUCUGUGAAUUUUUCUGCUAUUCACGAAGGUACUCAACUUGCCCAACAGCCCCUCCGCCGUCACACGCUGUAUCUCAAGGCCUUCUGGGACUCCAUUUUUGAGCCAAAACUGUGCCCACGAGAGACGUCACCUCCUGCCUGAUGAGCCUUUUCCCCUUUCCUGGCCCUGCGGUGUGCCAGCGGAGCAGGUCAUGGGACAGCCUGCCCCAGACUGCACCCACCGCAUCUCCGUGCGGUCCUUUCUCGCCUCUGAUUCUUUUUUGGAGAGGCCAGAUUUUGACCAUAAAAGGGAAGAAUGGAAUGUUGGGCGACACGCCAUGCCCCGAUUGGCUGAGCACCUACCCGUGAUGGUUUCGGGGGAAAUAACCAGGUCGGAGUCAUUUUCCUCUCCCCCCACCCCGAGCCGAGAACGAAAACAAUGCGACCAAACCGUGUGGUUCACCAUUGAAACCAAGGCAGGACUUUUUGUGUCUGUGCCUCCUAUUGCUCUUGGUUCCACCUGCAUGAAACCGAGCCCUCGCUUCUGGGUGUGCACGGCAGCUCUGUUUCCCAUCCAACAUCUCUGUGGCCGCCACCGGUUGAUGCUAUCUUGGAGAUGAAUGGGAGCGACCUGGUGGCCACGUUGGCCAGGAACCACAACUGCCUCCAGCCAACCUGGCAGCCCUUCUGUUGGGAGAACCCGAGAUCCUCCUUCUUGUGGUUGUCCAUCCCAUUUCCACAACCAAAACCCGUCAGAACAAAGCGCCUUUGUGCUUGGACAUCCCUCCCACCCAGCUGCCUUGUGACUGCCCUCGUUAGAUCACUUCUGUGGCUAAAAUAGGACUUUACUCUUGUGAGUCAUUUGCCUGAACCUGCCACCAGCACUGACUUACAACCUUUAAUAAAAAAUGAUAAAGAAGCUGAGAGGGUUUCCUGGAAACAUUGUCAGCCUUGAGUUGGGAGCAGAUGCUGGCAGCGAGCAAAGUUCUUUUAAGCCAUAAAGGCAUUUUCCUGUUUAAUGAUUACCCUGAGAAAUCUUGAGGCUGAAUCAGGAUGUUUGUGAUCAGCUUCACCCUUCUGGGAAGGCCGCACCCAGAGAAAUUCUUCUCUCAUUGCCUUCACCCAGUCAGAACGGGGUGGUGGUGUGGGUAACGCUGGCCCUGGAGCCAUAAGCUGUUCCCAGUUGUCACCAAUUUCUUCCUGUUUGCCCUCCAUUUGGGGCAGCUCCGGUGCCAGUCCUACCAGGCUCUGAGCAAGCCCUGGUUGAGAAGAAAUUCUUCUAUUAGCAGUCAUCCCAAGGCAUAGGGUUUAUCCUACAAAAACUCUUCUAGACCUCCUGCUUGCAGGAAUCCUUUUUGCAAGGGAAACGUUCCCAGCGCUGGUUGUUCCAGUGCUCAUGGAAGCCUCCUUGGUACCCAGUGCAAAUCUUCUUCCCUAUUGCUCCUCCACGUCAGCGUUCUCCCUCUUUGUGGGGCAGCACUUUGCAGAUAAGCUCCAGAGACGUUUCACCAUCACCCACCUUUCCAUCAGGCCACUUGCUCUGCCCUCACCCAUGGGUACCAUUGCUCUCCCAUGGCAGCAGUGCCUUGCAUCACUUCACCACCUGCUGCAAUCCCUCUUGCUGGUGCUACCGCAGCGGCGAG